GACGAACGCUGGCGGCGUGCCUAAUACAUGCAAGUUGAGCGCUGAAGGUUGGUACUUGUACCAACUGGAUGAGCAGCGAACGGGUGAGUAACGCGUGGGGAAUCUGCCUUUGAGCGGGGGACAACAUUUGGAAACGAAUGCUAAUACCGCAUAAAAACUUUAAACACAAGUUUUAAGUUUGAAAGAUGCAAUUGCAUCACUCAAAGAUGAUCCCGCGUUGUAUUAGCUAGUUGGUGAGGUAAAGGCUCACCAAGGCGAUGAUACAUAGCCGACCUGAGAGGGUGAUCGGCCACAAUUGGACUGAGACACGGCCCAAACUCCUACGGGAAGCAGCAGUAGGGAAUCUUCGGCAAUGGACGAAAGUCUGACCGAGCAACGCCGCGUGAGUGAAGAAGGUUUUCGGAUCGUAAAACUCUGUUGGUAGAGAAGAACGUUGGUGAGAGUGGAAAGCUCAUCAAGUGACGGUAACUACCCAGAAAGGGACGGCUAACUACGUG
rnacentral:rRNA from 1 species